GCCUGAAUCGAAGGUCAUAGCAUAAAUUCUUAGCGCUGGCCGUCCCAAGACAGGGCGAAGGGAGCGGCGGCACACAGUUCGCGGCGCCAGGGUGGCAAGAGCAGGCCAAGGUGGCAGUGGACAGCACGCACAACAUAGU
rfam:Camelus ferus unplaced genomic scaffold scaffold1343, whole genome shotgun sequence.